AAGAAAUUAGGUUCAAUCUCCAA
rnacentral:tRNA from 1 species